CAGUAGCCACGGGAAUACGUAGGUGGCAAGCGUUGUCCGGAAUUAUUGGGCGUAAAGGGCUCGCAGGCGGUUUCUUAAGUCUGAUGUGAAAGCCCCCGGCUCAACCGGGGAGGGUCAUUGGAAACUGGGAAACUUGAGUGCAGAAGAGGAGAGUGGAAUUCCACGUGUAGCGGUGGAAUGCGUAGAGAUGUGGAGGAACACCAGUGGCGAAGGCGACUCUCUGGUCUGUAACUGACGCUGAGGAGCGAAAGCGUGGGGAGCGAACAGGAUUAGAUACCCCCGUAGUCCCUGUCUCUUAUAC
rnacentral:rRNA from 1 species